GAAUGCUAUAGAACAGCAAGCUAUUCAUGAAGGGGAAUCCUGGGGUUCUUGUUGGUGUUGUCAUGGUGUAACAACUUUCCAUCUUAGGAAAACUCCCAAUGCUUUUCCAGCUCCAAAACCUAAGCCACAGGAAUUGUUUUUGGUACUUUGAACACCUGGUGUGUUUUCUAAAAAGCAUCAAAGCAGAGGAUCCAAAAUGUUUGCAUUUAAACUAGGUACACUCAGAACCUUCUUCUGUUUCUACUGGAGUACUGAGAGGGCCACAUCCAGCUGCCCAUGCAGCCCUGUGUACCUGUGCUCACAGAACAGGUUGUGGGGCUUCCAGCCCUGAAGAUACUGCAGCCUCCAUCCUGUUCUUGGACCUGCUUUGGGCAGAGAUUGGAGCAGGGAAAGGGAAAUCCACUUGCACCAGGUGGGAGCCUGCCCCUUUGCUUUGAACUUCAUCUGCUGGUGUCUGGUGAGGCUCCUGUUUGUGGGAACACUGUCCCUUGGAGCAGGCUUCUUCUGCUGCAGCAGCUGCUGCCCACCACAUCUCUAUGGUCACCUCAGAUUAAUAUUUUUCCACUUAUCACAUAGGUACUUCUGAGUCUUUCUGGUAAUGGAUAUUUGGCCCAUCUGAGCUUGUUCACCCUUUCUGUCCCCCAGAUCUCACAGCCUGGCCUUCAAGGGCUUGCAAAUAAAGCAAAAGUGUUAGAAAAUAAGGAUGCUCCUCAGAUACUGACAUACUGCUAAGCUGUCUCAGGGUAAUGUGGUUUUACUUUUAAAGGUAAAUUUAUGUUCUUCUACAGGUUUAUUUUUCUGGUUAUUCUUUGGCAUAAAGAGAAAUGUCUGGGGGCACCAAAUACAAAGCAGGAUCCAAUAAAGGCAGCUUGGGGAGGACGAUGAAUGAAUGAAUGAAUGUCGAUGUGUUGAGAUGACUGGGGGAAGUGCAGUGAGGAAGUAUGAAGAGAGAUGGAGGAGGUGGGAACAGCAACACA